UCUCCUAUAUAUACAUUUCCGCUUCCUUGUCAAACCCGCAACAGUCAACCACCAGGAAAUCGCGCAAAUUUUAUCGUCUUCCACUCAAAACAAAACAGAAGAGAAUCUACCAUGGCGCCCAAAGCCGAGAAGAAGCCUGCUGAGAAGAAGCCGGCCGAGGAGAAAAAGACUACCGUCGCUGAGAAAUCCCCUGCCGAGAAGAAGCCGAAGGCCGGUAAGAAGCUUCCCAAAGAAGGCGGUGCGGCCGGAGACAAGAAGAAGAAGAAGGCCAAGAAGAGCGUGGAGACCUACAAGAUCUACAUCUUCAAGGUCCUUAAGCAAGUCCAUCCUGAUAUCGGUAUCUCAAGCAAGGCUAUGGGGAUCAUGAACAGUUUCAUCAACGAUAUCUUCGAGAAGCUUGCUCAGGAAGCUUCUAGACUCGCGAGGUACAACAAGAAGCCAACGAUUACUUCCAGGGAAAUCCAGACCGCAGUUAGGCUUGUACUUCCCGGCGAGCUUGCCAAACACGCCGUCUCUGAAGUGUGAAUGUGAAGAGCGAUCCUAUAUCGACUCGUAGGUCCCUGUUUAAUUUUCUGGCGGUGAAUGUCCGAUGCAAUGGAUGCAACAGGCACAUUGGCGAGCAAUUUUUUACGCUUGAUGGUGAUAGGCCUCUCCAUCGUGUAAUGGAAAGAAGUUAUGUACUUCAUGUGUAUAUUGGCUUUGAAAUACUGAAUCAUAUUCCGAAAUUAGAAUGAAAAAGGCAGUGGUUGCAUGCAGGGACCGGUCACUGUAUUGGGAUGGAACCCAGGUGAUUAAUGCACCACUCCUCGGAGAAAAGUGACUGAGUUACCCAACUCUAAGUUCACUAAGGAUGCAAACUUUUAUACGGAGUGUGGUUUUGUUUUUCAUGUCAGGAUGUAUUGUUGGUUUUGUGCUUUAUUUGGUUUGCUGAAUACUCAUCAAAAUAUUAGACCGGUAUUAUAAUUGCUAUCAUUGUAGGUAAUUUUCAUGGAUUUUGUUUCCUAAACCAACAUUUUAUGCAGGGAAAUUGAUUCAAGUGAGCAUUGCUUUAAAAACAUUGUUUUACAUUUGUUUAGUAUAUAAAUUGAUCGUUUUUUUUUUCUGGCUUAUUUAUCUUUCUUUCUCAUAAAACUUAAUAUCUAUGUAUGUAUUUUAUUGUAGCAUUUGGUGUUAUAAAUAUGUAUGAUGAGAGCCUAGGCUGAUCAAUGCCACUGCGAAAAAACCCUGCAUGCGUUUGAGCAACGUGAAAGAAAGACAAAAUAAACCCAAAAAAAAAGAAGCAAUUUAUAUACUAAACAAAUGUCAAACAAUGUUUUUAAAGCGCAUCAACUAUGCUCACUUGAAUCAGUUUCCCAGCAAAAGAUGUUGGCUUUGGCAACAAAAUCCAUGAAAACUACCUAAGUUGAAAUCAAUUGUAAAACCAAUAUAAUAUUUUAAUGAGUACUCAGCUAGUUAAAUAAAGUACAAAACCAACAAUGCGUCUUGAAAUGAAAAGCAAAACCAGAUGCGAUAGAGAAGUUUGCACCCUUAGUGAACUUAAGGAUUGGCUCGACCAUUAGUUAAAGUAGUUAGGAAGAAUUGAGGUAAGUUGUUGUCAAUGUAAACUGUUUACUUUUUGUUAAUGCAUCAGCUGGAAGUUAGUUAGGAUCAAGUUGUUAGACUAAGUUCUUGGUCGAUACAUUAUCCAAACUCUUGUAUAAAUAAGUGAGCUCGGUCCUAUUGGGAUUAUUAGAGUUCAAAUCAAUAAAAGAAGUAGAUCCUGUUUUCUUUA